rnacentral:rRNA from 1 species
GCACAAGCGGUGGAGCAUGUGGUUAAUUCGAAGCAACGCGAAGAACCUUACCUGGUCUUGACAUCCCGGAGACCCUUAGGAAACUAGGGGGUGCUUCCAUCUGGAAGAAUCUGGAGACAGGUGCUGCAUGGCUGUCGUCAGCUCGUGUCGUGAGAUGUUGGGUUAAGUCCCGCAACGAGCGCAACCCUUGCCUUUAGUUGCCAGCAGUUCGGCUGGGCACUCUAAAGGGACUGCCGGUGUUAAACCGGAGGAAGGUGGGGAUGACGUCAAGUCCUCAUGGCCUUUAUGACCAGGGCUACACACGUACUACAAUGGCCGAUACAAAGGGCAGCGACACUGCGAGGUGAAGCCAAUCCCGUAAAAUCGGUCUCAGUCCGGAUUGGAGUCUGCAACUCGACUCCAUGAAGUUGGAAUCGCUAGUAAUCGUGGAUCAGCAUGCCACGGUGAAUACGUUCCCGGGCCUU